GAAUGCUGCCAGGCCUGCCCCCAAAUCCAUACUCUUCCUCCAUCAAGUCCCUCCCAGGCCAGAGGCUCUGAAACCCCAGCACCCCAGGCAGGAGCCCAGGCCACCACGGAAUGGUACUAGAGGCCCAGCCUUGUCCUGGAAUUUGCCUGCACAUCCGCCUGACCUGGGGGGGGGGUCCUCGCUCCUAAAUUGAACUUGAAAGUCUGUUCAGAGCACCUUAGAAACCUUAUCAAUUAAGCAACUGGAUUCCCCACCCUCAUCCCAGCACACACACACCUGACUCUUUAUCUGCCUUUAGAUUUCUUGUACAGGAGAUAUUUUUUUUGGUACCGGGGACUGAACUCGGGACCUUGCACCUCCAAGGCAGGCGUCGGAACUGCUGAGCUAAAUCCCCGGCCCACAGCUGAUUUUUUAAAAUGGCUCUACCAGGGAAACAGCAAAGAAUCCUUUCACUUCUGUACAACACUCCUCCCUCUCCGUCUCUUCCCCACCCUCACGCUCCCGUCCCCUCCAAGCCCAGAAGAGAAGUCAGGCAGCUCUGCUCCUCCGAAGAGAGGAAGGCUGGGGGCUAAGAGGGCUGGCCAGGGCUACAGCAAGGUGGCCACGGAAGCCACCUCGACCACGCUGACCAGACUGAGGCCACCAGCCCUUUGGUCAUUCGCCUUUCACUCCUGAGAGCUGGUGAAGAAGGCUGCCUGCCACUUUGCCCCAGGCUUCCUGGAAAGGGAUGUUUUCCCCUAACAGUGGAGGAGGUGAGGACUAUUUUCCAGGAGGGCACAAAACUGCUUUGCCUGCCACCCUGAAAGGCAGCAUUGACCACAGGGUGGGCCUCCUGCGGGGUGCCAGAGUCAACACCAGGGAAGAAGGCUGCCUGGCACCCUGCUCGGAUUUUAUAGGUAUCAGAACCUACCACGGGCAGCAGCUGUCAGGAGAAACCAUAACUUGGCCAAAGUGAAAUUCCUUAGAAGUCCGGCUGAGGCAACAGUCCAUCACUGUGAGGCAACGGGGAUGUAAUAAUGUGGACGAUUAAAACAGCUAACACUGCCAGAGUGCUCGCAGCCAACCAGCCCUUGAAGACAAAUACUAUGGUCCUCACUUAACAGGAAGUGGCUGCUAUCUCAGAACUUAGGAAGCACAGAGAACUUUGGCCACAAGUCCUAAACUCCGACUCCCAACUCCCCUUCUGCAGCAGGGGAAACUGAGUCCACAAAGGAGAAAGCAGAGACCCAGAUGUGAGCACGCUGCCUGCGCCAAGAAGUCAGCAAGAGCACAAGAGCAAAGAGCCUAGGUGAGAAUGAGGCCAGGAUGAGAGAAGCAGGAACCCCCACAGGAGGAGGGCAAUGUUGCUGAAUCUGUAGAGCACCUGGAGCCAGCUGUUCCUGAAGGCAGACUCUCCUCAGACUUUUCAGUUAUGUGAACCAAUAAACUCCCUUUGGAGUCAUCUGCUACCAACAAGGAAAUGAGUUUUCCAUCUCUGGAGGUAUUCCACAGAGAACAAACAUCUACGGAAGCAUUUCACCAUGAAAUACACGUUAACAAGGGCCACUUUCAUUCUAAACCCACCAUGACCAGCAAAUAAAAUGUGAUUCACAGGCCACAGGCUCCAAGAGGUUAUCCAGCCCAAAGAAUCCUCCUCCAAUGAGUUUGAGAUGCUCCCUCCCCUCUAGGAGAAGGCCUUCCCAGAGGGGAUCAUUCAUACAUAUUAAACCAGCAAACACAGGCAAUAAUGACAACACCAGUCCCGGUGACAGUGUGGCAAACGGAGUGUCCUCACUACUGACAAGAAGAUAAACUGUUUCCAUCUUGUAAAGACUAACAACUGGCAAUAAAUUUUA